UACGGGUCGGGUUAAUUAGGGUUAAGGUAUAGGUUAAGGCUUAUCCUAACCCAAACCCGACAUUUCCGCCAUGUUCAAUAAAAGUUUGAUAUUUAAUUCAUGUGCCAAAUAUACUUUUUUAAUUAAAACGUUCAACAACGGAUAACAACCAAAUUUCUUGUUUUUAUCGGUAUCCACGUUGGUGUUGCUGUUUUGUUUUUGUUGUUUUUGCUGGGUUUUUUCAAGUUAAACACUUUAAUUACAAUUUCACGACAUUCUUUGAGAAAUGUUUAACCAUAUGUUUAAACUCAAACGAAGGGAAAACCUAAUCAAGAAAAUAACUUUUCGUAUAAAACCAUGUAAACAUUUGUACUUCCUCUUUCGCUUUCAAAGUAACAUAAAUGCGAAUGUUUACCUUUGAUCUUCUGAUAUAGCACACCAUCUUACGACUUAAAAAGACAGUAAUUUGAAGGAUGGACGAGUCCGACAGAAGACUGUUUCAAAAAAUUUACCUCCGCUUUGUAGAUAGGGUUGAUUCAAUUGACAUGUUGGGGUUUAUUACAUGUCUGUCAAAGCAUACAAAGGAUACUAUAACAAAUUCCCAAACUUGCCACAAUGGCUCCACGCCAUUUGCAGCUCAGAAAUUGUUUGAUGCUCUAAAGUGCCUUCCAGAUGGUUUACAGCAAGCUGCGUAUGCCCUUCGUAAGUGUGGGCAUAAAGAUCUUGCUAGUGAGAUAGAACGGCAGCAAGCAUCAGCACAGCACCACUUUCACGAAACACAACGCUCUAACAGCCCUCCGGUACCAUCGGUUCAUAAUUCUCCCUCUAAUGGAGCAAAUUCUGUGUCCAUGUCGGAUUACCACAAUUUUCCUCAAGAUGAUCAAGCUUUACGCAACUUUGUUGGUAAAGAACCAUCCAUGGAACCGGAACCAUUAAAGAUAUAUGGGUCACAUAAUAAAUGCAGUGUAAUUGAACAGGAAAACGAGUUGAAUAAAUCUGAUACAGAAAAUGAAGAUUCAUAUACUGAUUUUACAGUAAAGAAAAAUAUUGAAGUAGAAGAAAAUAUUUCAUCUGUAUCAGAUUCUGAUUCAAGUAAAAUUAUAUACCACCAAGACAACACUGAAUUUAUGCCAACACUUACGAAUAAUGAAGUUAGCAUUGAAAAGCCAGAACGUUUUAGAAUGGUCAAUAAAUCCCCGAUAACAGAUGAUAAACAUGAAGAUGCUUCCAACGCUGAAUUUAAGAUUAAACUUUCGUUGCGACCAGAAGCAGUAAAAAAAAAACAAGUUCGAAACCGACCUGAAGAAAGAUAAUUUUGAGAAUAUACGACCGGACUGUUUUUCAGAUGUCUUUUCACAAACUGCUUCACACUUGCUUUCAGAUCCGGAAGUGUCAACAGAAACAGUUGCUAUUGCUGAACCGACAAAGCAACCAAUCGACCACUCUCUUGAAGAUGCAAGAAUGCCCUUAAUGAUGUUGAACUGAAUAGUAUUAUGAGGAAGAAGGACAAGGCAAGUAUCUUUGAAAUUUACAGUUUUAAUAGGGAGAAUGAAUCCGAAGAUGGUAUUGUUUCAAAUAUGGAAGAAGGUGUUAGCGUUGGGAAUUCCGAUGAAAACAUUAUUUCAACUGAUGCUAUUCCAACCACCGUGGCAGCAAACAGUAAUGGCAUGAAUGAAUACAUGGAACAAGACAAUAACCCAAUUCGCAGUAUUCAAUGUCCGCCCUUAUAUAAUUCUGCCCAAUCAGCAGGUGACGGACGUGAAUUGGAUGACAUCGGUCAGAGACCAGAGGCAGCUGAAAAUAUCAGAUUGGGCUUAACGUCAUGGGUUAGUUUUGGGUCUUCUCUUUUAAGCUCUACCUUCAUGUCUCUUACCGACCUCUUUCCCGACGGUUGAAUACAGUUUGUCAGCUUUUGUGCUGCUAUUUAUUAAGAGUUUGCAUGCAAUGCUAGUUUAUAUAUAUUUUAAUUUCAAAUAACAUAAUAUGCAAAAUAUCAGCGGGGUAUGUAAGGUACAGUAUUGAAAUCAAAACCAAAGAAUGUGUAUCACAUUCAAAUAUUGUUUUAAUGUAAUAUUAAUGAAUAAAACAAAGUAUUUUAAUGAUAUAGAGUAUUUGAUUCACAUGGUCUGUAAACGAUCAAGUAGUAUGUGAUUCUUUGCUUAGUAAUUUCAUCAUACUUAAUAUAUCAUUCAGUAAACUAAUCGGGUCGUA